rnacentral:rRNA from 1 species
AGUGAACGCUGGCGGUAGGCCCAACACAUGCAAGUCGAACGGCAGCACAGGAGAGCUUGCUCUCUGGGUGGCGAGUGGCGGACGGGGGAGGAAUACAUCGGAAUCUACUUUUUCGUGGGGGAUAACGUAGGGAAACUUACGCUAAUACCGCAUACGACCUACGGGUGAAAGCAGGGGAUCUUCGGACCUUCCGCGAUUGAAUGAGCCGAUGUCGGAUUAGCUAGUUGGCGGGGUAAAGGCCCACCAAGGCGACGAUCAGUAGCUGGUCUGAGAGGAUGAUCAGCCACACUGGAACUGAGACACGGUCCAGACUCCUACGGGAGGCAGCAGUGGGGAAUAUUGGACAAUGGGCGCAAGCCUGAUCCAGCCAUACCGCGUGGGUGAAGAAGGCCUUCGGGUUGUAAAGCCCUUUUGUUGGGAAAGAAAUCCAGCUGGUUAAUACCCGGUUGGGAUGACGGUACCCAAAGAAUAAGCACCGGCUAACUUCGUGCCAGCCGCCGCCGUAA